UUACAAAACUUACAUAUUGGUGGGCAGAAAUAUUGGAAGAUAAUACAGAUGAUACAACAGACAUUUUAAUAUACAUUUACUUAAAUAAUUGUUUAAUUGUUUAAAUUAUUUCAACACUUCAGCAUUUUUUCCUCACAGUUGAACCAAGUGCAGUUAUGAUUUAGGAAAGUUAUUGGUUUGUUGCUGACAGUCCUUUAUUAUUGAGAUUGCUUCUCAAAUUUUUAUUGCUGUAGUACAGAUCGCUCUCUUUCUCUCAAAAAAAAAAAUUUUUUUUUUUGUUAUGCUUGCUUCGUGUUAUCUUUCCCUUGCAUCCACUAGGGGAGACAAACAACUCACUUCCUCUGAAAAGACCACUGGUGAAUCUACAUUACAUUUCUUUAUAGGACAUAAACAUGAAUCCCGCCCCAUCAGCAGCCAUCAUUAUACUCUCUCUGACUUUUUAUUUUGUAUUUAUCCCAUGCCUUUUUACUUUGUAUUAAUUUUCCAUCUAACGCCUUUCCUUUCUAUGAAGCAAAAGUGAUAUGACUAUAAGUUUAGAAUGUGUGAGUGAUAGCUAUACAGAAUGUUGUAUCUGGAGUGUUAAAAUCUUAAGGCAUUGUUGGCUUUUCUUUAGAAAAUUCCUAUUUUUAAGUGAAGAUUUUUAAAAAGUAAAGCCAUGCAUAAGAAAAUUGUAGGUGUCAAAUAUUUGAGCUAAAGGAUCCAACUGUAAGAUUACCAUGGCUAGAUGUCACCUGAACUAGUUUUUUCAGAAAUUUUAUGAGGAACUUAUUCUGUCCUGUGAAAUGAAGUUGUGUAAGUUAAUUAUUCUUCUUGAUAGUGUUUUUCUCAUAAUAUGUACUUUCCUUAGGUUAGUCUUUAAAAUUCUUGUUUUUUUAUAUCCUCUGCCAUUUGUCAUGUUGAUAUAUAGAUUUUUAUGUUUGAAACGUAUGCAUGAUGUUAGUUCUGACUCCACUGAAACAAAAUUGGAUCUGCAUAAAAAACUCAUGCUGUGAAAGUAUAAUUUUAAAAAGUUUCUAUUUACUGUUGAGUCGAAGGAGGGAGGGCGGUUGGCUAGCAGGGAAGUGGAGUGAACCAUUGGGGUGGGUUUUCAUCAAGGAGAAACAAACGGAACUGUCACACCACCGUAGCCAGAAAAUAUAUGGGGAGGAAAUUACAAGUAACACUUGGUGCAAUUUUUAAAUGAUUUUUUCCUGUAAAAAUGCUUUUUCAGACAUACUUGGAAACAACACUGACAUCUGAUUAGAAAGAUUAAUGUAUUUUACAUAAAUACUGUGAUACUAGAUUGAUGUUUUGAAUUCGGACAAUGGAUUAAUCUGCACUGAAAGUCUAUGGGGCUUCUUUCGCUACAUGUUUACUCUCACCAAUUGUUAAUAGAAGUGCAUAAUGUAUAAUAUGUACACAAUAUAGCAUUGCUAUAUAUUCUAUAUCCUAGAUACAGAAUGUACAGAUUAUCUAUAGGCCCACUUACAAAAUUAAUCCAAACAUUUAAAUUACAUUUACAAAAGUUUAUUGUAUACAUUAUUUAAAAAAUCAAGAAAUACAAACUGCAGUGUUUAGUUCUUACACUUACGUGAUAAUUUUACCAGUUAUAUUUUAUGUAACAGUUGAAAAACAAAGCUUGUCUGAAAUCCUAAUUAUUGUAAAAUUCAGUUGUGACUUCCUGCUUAGAUGCAAGGAUUAACAUCUUUGCUCCAUUCGAGGCAAUGCCAGAACUCUUUGUGACUUCAGUGAGGCCAGAAUUUCACCCCAGAUAUUUUGAGUUUCAGAACUGUUUUACAGAGUUUUUUUAAAAAAUCUAUUUGAGUGAGACAGUCUCGCACUUUAUUUUGAGUAUCUUUAUGGAAUUAAGUAAAUUGACUGGGGAUAACAUCUUUUACUUGCAGUCAGUCUCACAGUUCAGAAAUGUUAGCUAUAUUACUCUAACCACAUUAACAACUGAUUGAGUAGUUAAAAUAAAACCCUAAAGAUGAAGAGAAAUGCCUUCUUUAAAAUAAAAUUCCAUUUAAUAGAACUGUGCAUUUUAAAUCUAUAAAUAUUUUUGUUGCUUAAUCUCAAAGUACAAAUAUUUAAGAUGCAUUUUUAUUUUUUAUUUAGUUCAUUUAGAUGAAUAUAUAGGUUUAGGUCCAUAUAAAUCUAGACUUAAUUAGCAAGUUUUUCACUUAAUCUUGAACAUUGUUCAGGGGCUCAGUCAUGCAGCUGUUAAACACACACAACUCCUGUGGAUUUAGCUCUCUCCUAAAGUCCUGAUCCUGCAGCCCUUAUUGAUUCAGAACUCCUACUGAAAUAGCUCCUUGUUUUCCAUUUUGUGCUUAUUUUACAAUCUCCACUGCUGUUCUCUAAACAAAGUUUUUCUUUCCUGAAUUGCCAUCUUUUUGACAAAGUUCUUCAUUAAAGUUUUCAUACCUGUUUAUCUCUUUCACAUUAACUCGGAUAAGUGAUCAGUUUGUUGGAAUUGGCUGCUGCCGUGGACCAUGAUCCUUUAGAGAGGUCCAGUGCACAGACCCUUCCUUGUAUCUUUGUGAAAUCCAAAUCUAGUUGAAAUUGAUUUUCUUUGCAGGUUCAGUGUCUUAAACUACUACAGAGUAGCAUGUUAGUGUUCAAUCAAAAUGAAAUGAAAUUAAAAAUACAGAAAAUGCAGGAGUAUGACAUUUCUGUUUUCAGAUUGAUAUUUUACUAAAUUAUUAUUUCAUGUUGAUAGUCAAAAUGUUCAUGUUCAAAAGACUUUGUUUUUUUUAUUCAGAUGUACCUUUUGAAAAUCAUGAAGUCAUAGACAAGUUCUGCUUAAAGGCGUUGCUUCUAUGAUUACAUUCCUCGUGUUUCUCCUAGUACAGAUCAACAUUCGUAGUAAUUGGAAGAUAAACCAGUAUAAUAAUUUUUCAGUUUCAUUAGUAUGAGUAUUAAAUGUAAUCUUUUUGUAUUAUAGGAAUAUAAUGAGCAAUUUAACAAAAGCUGUAUAUUUUCUGUAUUAUAUAUCACAUGUUCAAGGCUGCGGUAGUCUCUGGAAGGAAAGUGAAGUGAUCGAAUGGUGGUCCCAAGUUUUUUGCUGUCAGCAUCUCAUCUCCCCCAUUACUCUUACUUAAGUCUGUGCGCUGCCAGCUCUUGUUCUUCAAAGUCACUUCUUAUCUGUCCACAUAAGAUGUUGGCACUUCUUCCCACACUAUUCCACUAUGCCUUGUAUUUUGCCCUAUGCCCCUUACACUGUGCAGACUCCUUCUUGAAAUCUUACUUUUUCAUGUAGUUUCUUGAGCAAUAGAAAAAUCAUAGCCAUAUUUAGGUACUCUUCCCUUCCUCUUUUCCUCUUGCCAGAUAAUGAGUUCUUUCUGUAUUUUUAAUUCAUGAAUUUAUGGUCAUUAGAAUAAGCUCUCUAAAGCGAGGUCAUUGUCUUUACUAGUCAGUGUUAAGAGACAGGACUGCUGGUCUGUUUGGUAUGACAGUUUCUGUGUGUUAUGAUUUUCUAAUAAAAUAGAAAUAAAUUAAUGUAAAAUAAGUAAUGUUUUGGGGAAUAGAUGGUAAUAUACGAAACAUCAAAAUUUUAUCUUUUGAGAGGUCUAAAACCAGUCAGUUUUAGUGAUACCAUUCUUUACUUCUGCUUCUGAUCUCUUAUCUCCCAGAGAGAUCUUAAUCCCUCCUGUCCUUCAAAAAAUAGCUUAAUUCUCCAUACAUAAAACUUCUAAGAUGGCAUUAAGGUUGAAAGUAGAUAGCAUUGACUUGGUUGUUGAAGCCUUGCCAAGAAGGCUGGUAUUAUCAAACGAACAUUAGAAGAUGGUAGAAAAAAAUUACAAGAAUUGUGUAGGACUCCUUUGUGGAGGAGAGUGAGAGGGAAAGCUUUUUAAAAAGCUAGAAAAUCAUAAGUUAGUUUUAACUUGUACAGAAAUUUUUAAAAAUUGGCUUGUUCCCUUUUUGAUGCGUUGUGACAUAUUGAGAGAAGUUGAAAGGUAUAUAAAAAACCACUUGCUUGUUCUUGGAGUGCUUGCUCAUGUCGUUUCCAUUCUAGGUGUGUGCGCACCCAUGUGCGCGGUCGUCGGAGAUUUUCGCCUUAGCGGUAACCAUAGGGCCAGCUGUGGCGUCCCCUUGAGUGUUGCGCCCAGGCGCUGGUAUAUCAGGCACCAUUGGCCCUAUCCCCUCUCAGUUCCUUCUUACUGCCCAUGGUGGUUAGUUGGUGCGCUUUUCCUUGCUUAGCAAGGGCUAUCAGUUUUUUUUCUCCUUUGGACUUCAUUCCUUAAGGCCUUGUAUGUAAUUAAUUCUUCAGUAGUUAGUGUUAAGUACCUGUUAAGUGUCUAGUUUUUAGUAGUUAGAGUCCCAGAGGGGACUUUGCCCCUUGUGGGCAUGCUCCGGUCUCUGGGGUUCAAGCCCUACACAGAGCUUGAACAGGCCUAUGCCUAUUAGUGACUCCCACGGCACUGUCUCAAGUGCUUAGGGGAGGCGCACAUAAGAGAAGUGCCGUAUCUGCAGAAACUUUUGGCCCAGCAUGCAGAAAGAGCGGGACAUUCGACCUCAGGUUUUUCUGAUGGAGUCCGCCCUCCAUCCGGCCUCUGAGCUGUCUUGGCAUCAGUGCGACGUGCACCCCCGGCACCGAGCUCCAUUCAGCACGGUUCUGGCUGCCUCCACUGCCAUGGCUGUGGCAGUCUCAUCCAGGGUCUGCUAGAAGAAGGGACAGAGACACUGGGUUUAGUCAUCGCCUCCAUUCUGCCUCCCACUCACUUGCUCAGCCUGGCCUAGCGAAUUGUCCGGAGGGCAGAAGUGCUCAUUUUGAUGGUGCUCAAGAGCGACGCCCCAGCCAAUUCCCCAGAUCCACCGUUCCUUUUCCUCAACCACCUUCACCCCUACCGUUCGGCCUGGUCGUGGGUCACCUCGGACCUCUGGAUACUGCACAUAGUAUCUCAGGGCUAAACCCUGCAAUUUUCGGCCACCACUCCCUCCCACAGCCCCUUUUCCCUGUCCCUCUUCAGGGAUCUUUCUCACGAGCAACUCCUUAUGUGGCUGGGGGCAGUAGAGGAGGACACGAAAGGGAAAGUGUUCUACUCCUAGUACUUCUUAAUCCUGAAAGCAAAAGGAGUCCUCAGACCCAUCCUGGACCUGUGUUGCCUCACAAGUCUCUCAAGAAGUUGACGUUUCCCUGGGUUCCAUCAUCUCCUCCAGGAGAUUAGUACACCGCUCUCAAUUUACCGGAUGCUUAUUUCCAUAUUCCUGGGUCACAGACAUUUUUUUCAGCUUCAUAGUGAGCAGGCACGAUUUUCAGUUCAUGGUGCUGCCCUUUGACUUAUCUUCGGCCCCAGUGGUGUUCUCAAAAGGCCUGGCUCCAGUGGCGGCUUAAAUGAGACAUUGAGGGGUCCAGAUUUUCCUGUAUCUUGAUGACUGGCUUAUCUAGGGUCUCAGGAGCAGGUGCAGAGGAGCCUCAAUCUGGUGAGUUCGACUUGUCACGAUUUGGGCUUGCUAAUAACCAUUAAAAAGUCUGCAUUAAUGUGAGUCCAGCACAUAGAAUUCAUAAGGAAGAUCCUCGACUCCAUGCGAGCCAGGGCCUUCCUUCCGGAAGUGUGUUUUCAGACCAUGUCGUACUUGAUCUCCCAUUUAAAGAACCACCUGUUCAUUGUGGCCCACACCUGCCUAUGUCUGAUGGGCCAAGUGGUCGCCCAUGCUGGCUCCAUUUAUGACCUCUGCAAGCAUGGCUGGCCUCGGUCUAUAUCCCCAGCAGACCCAGGUUGGACCAGGAGGUCAGGGUGCCGAACCAUGUCCUGUUGUCCUUGCAAUGGUGAUUGGAUCCCAAGUCGGUGCUGCAGGGAGUUCCCUUCACAGCUCUGUCUCCGUUGCUUGAACCUGGUCUCCCGACUAUUUGGAUCUGGGCUGGGAGGCCCACCUGGACGAGCUAAGCACCCACAGCCACUGGCUGUGGGACAAUCUCGCCCUCCAUAUCAACAUCAGGGAGCUCAGGGUGGUUCACCUCGACUGCCAGGCUUUCUUGCCCCACCUGAAACGCAAGGUGGUACAGGUCCUGACGGACAAUGGCACCACGAUGUAUUAUAUCAACAGACAGGGCGUUGCCAAGUCCUCGGCCCUUUGUCAAGAGGUGCUCAGCUUUUGGGACUUUUGUGUGCAGCAUGCCAUUCAUCUGGUCGCCAGCCACCUGCCAGGCACCAGGAACAUCUUGUCAGAUCACCUCAGCAGGACCUUCUCAUCUUGCCACAAAUGGUCACUCCAUCCAGAGAUGGUCAACAUAAUCUUCUAGAGGUGAUGGACUCCCCCAGGACCUGUUCGCAUCCAGGCAGAACAGAAAGUGUCACGUGUUAAGUUCGAUUUGGGGUCUGGACAGAGGUUCCCUUUUGGACGCCUUUUUUAUUCCAUGGUUGGGAGCACUGAUGUAUUCCUUCCCACCAGUGCCACAGGGUCCUUGUGAAGGUGAAGCAGGACAGAGUGACGGUUAUCCUGGUAGCUCCUGCAUGGCCCGUCAGCACUGGUUCGGCACGUUGCUGAGCCUUUUGGCAGCCACGCCUCUUCCGCUGUCUCUUUGGCUGUAUCUGCUGUCCCAGAACCAUGGCACUCCUCUGCAUCCAAACCUUGCAGUGCUGCACUUGACAGCUUGGCUACUGCAUGGCUAAGCACGGACGAGUGGGCAUGCUCGACCUGUGUCCAACAGGUCUUGCUGGGUAGCAGAAAUCCUCCACCAGGGCAACCUACCUGGCUAAAUGGAAAAGGUUCGAGUGCUGGGCCUCGGAGCGACGCAUCUUAGGGCCGAGUAGGCUUCGCUGCAGGACAUAUUGGAUUAUCUGCUGCAUCUCAAACGCUAGGGGUUGUCCAUCUCUUUGAUCAAGGUCCACCUGUCCACCAUUUUGGCGUUGUGUCCUCCAUUCCAGGGCAAGUCUCUCUUCGCCCAGCCUAUGACAGCAUGUUUUUUGAAGGGUCUGGAAUGCCUCUAUCCACACAUCCGGGAUCCUCCCCUCUCCCCCUGCCUCGGGAUCUGAAUUUUGUGCUGUGAAGGCUUGUCAGACCUCCCUUUGAGCGUGUGGCUUCCUGCUUCCUCCUGCUUCUCUCCUUGAAGGUUUUGUUCCUGGUUGCCAUAACGGAUGUCUGAGAUCAGGGAGCUCAUCUCGGAGCUGUCUUAUAUGAUCUUCUAGAAGAACACGGUCCAGCUGCGCCCGCUUACGGUGUUUCUGCCCAGGGUCAUUUCUCAGUUUCAUACUGGUCAGGACAUAUAGUUACUGGUCUUCUGUCCGAAGCCCCAUGCAGCUGAUGAGGAACGCAGGCUUCACACCCUGGACGUCAGGAGGGCGUUGGCAUUUUACAUAGAUAGAAUGAAGCAGUUCCGUAAGUCAACGUAGUUGUUGUUCAUUGUUGUGACAGACAGGAUGAAAGGUCGUCCGGUGUCUGCUCAGAGAAUCUCACCCUGGAUUACAGCCCGCAUCCGUUACUGCUAAGAGCUGGCAAAGGUGUCCCUGAUGGCGAUCCAAGAGAUCUGUUGAGCCGCUCUCUGGUUGUCCGUCCACAUGUUGGCAUCACAUUACACGCUGACCCAGCAAGCUCAAGACAACGCUGGCUUUGGCCGAGCUGUGCUGAAAGAUGCAAGGCUUUGAACUCUGAACCCACCUCCAUUGAUACUGCUUGUGAGUCACCUACAAUGGAAUUGACAUGAGCCAGUACUCGAAGAAGAAAAAACGGUUACCUACCUUUCGUAACUGUUGUUCUUUGAGAUGUGUUGCUCAUGUCCAUUCCAUUGCCCGCCCUCCUGCCUUUCUGUCGGAGUUGUCGGCAAGAAGGAAUUGAGAGGGCGUAGGGCCUGUGGCCCCUGACAUGCCAGCGCAUGGGCGUGACACUCAGGGGGGCACAACGGGCGGCCCUUUGGAUACCGCUCAGGUAAAAAUCUCCAAUGACCGCACAUGUGGGCGCACACACACCUAGAAUGGAAUGGACUUGAGCAACACAUCUCGAAGAACAACAGUUACAAGAGGUGGUGUGUUUGUUUUUUUACCUUAGCCGAUAUUUCUAAGUCAAAUUUUGUCUUCCCCUGGUUUUGCUGGAGAACUGCUUGGGAAGUAGGUGUAUAUGAGGUGUGUGGUGUGAACUGUCACACCUUACUUAAUUGGAGGGACAAGGAUGUGGAAUAUUUAACAAAGAUGUCAUUUGUCCCAGGUGUUCAUUAGGAAGAAGUAUUGGUAAAAACAAGGUUUUUAUCACUGUCUAAAAAUUCUUUAACCCUCUUAGUGGCUGUUUUCAGUCUCAUGUGAUGUCAUAAUUCCCUUAGUUUUCCAGUCAUUUUAGGCUUGGUCUACACUAGCAAUUUGUGUUUGCUAUAACUGCGUUGCUGAGCAGUGCAGUUAUGCUAACCUAACUCCUGGUGCAGACUCUUGUUGACAUAGCUACUGAUUCUCAGGGAGGUGGAUUACCUACGCUAAUGGGAGAAGCCCUCCUGUUGCCAUAGGUAGCAUCUUCACUGAAGCGCUAUAGUGGUGCAUCGGUGCAGCUGCGCCGCUCUGGCCUUUUAAGUGUAGAUAAGCCCAGAGUCUUUCUUUGUAGGUAGGGCCUCAGUUACUAGUGUAAAAAUGAAACAAAAAAAACUGUUUGUGUCAGAAGUUUUCCAGCUCUUUUACAUGUUUUUUUUUAAAAAAAGGGGGGGGGGAGGAAAUAAACCCCAUCUUAUUUUUCUUUUGCCCUUCACCGGUCUACAGCUGCCCAGCUCUGAAGGCAGAACCACCACCAGCAGCAGCACAGAAGUGACAGGUUGCAGUACUGCAACCCCUCACCCCACAAUCUUCUGACCCCCCCACAACUCCUUUUUGGGUCAGAACCCCUGCAGUUACAACACUGUGAAAUUUCAGAUUUAAAUAGCUGAAAUCAUGAAUUUAACGAUUUUUAAGGUUCUGUAACCUUGAAAUUGACCGAAAUGGAUCAUCAAUUUGGUAGGGCCCUACUUAUUGGUGUAAACAAACACUUCAGUCUUGGGCCAUGAAAUUUAUAACACAUAACAUGGUAAAAAGACAUGCAUAUAAAAAACAAAUUUUAAAGCUAAUGCUCUGUGUUGAUAUUGAUGAAAUUUGACCCCCAGCCUGUCCAGUGUAGCGACAUCUUCAUUUUUAUUCAGCUUCAUCUGUGGAUUUUUAAUUUUUUUUUUUUAAGUAUGGUGUUUUUUUUCCCCUAAAGCAGAGAGAGGUUGUCUUGUCUUGUUGGUGUGUUUGUUUGACUUGGGGCUGGUUUAAAAUGCAAAAAAUUUUGUUCAUUUCCAAGCACAAAACACGUUGGUUCAAAUGCUGAUCUUAGAUAUGCAACAUAAAGCUCCCUAUGCCUCAGGUAAGAAAUGAAGUUGCACAUGCAUAUCUAAGGUCAUAUGUUGAUUCCCUUUUGGUAAAUUUUGAAGCCCUAAGUUAUGCACAGCUAACUGGAGGAAUCAAUUGAUUUAACAUGCCAAGAUAGCUUAAUGUGUAAUGAUGUGUCCCUGUGUCCAAAUUUGGAAAAGAAAAGUUUAUCAGAUAACAGUAAAAAUACUGACUGUUAAAACUGCUGACGCACUUCUUGGAUCCUUUUACCUUGUAUUAAAAAUAAAUACUCUGAAAUUUAAUUUCUUUCUUUUCUCUAAAGAUGGCCAUUGUUGUGAAAUAAAAGAGCUUCUUUUAGAAAGUCUGCUAUGAAAUUCAGCCAUUUAAAUCCUUAGGGAAGUUGGUUGAAAACAAAAAUUCCUGUUCCACAGGAAAUUCUGAAAUUAAAAAAAAAAUAUUUCAAAAUUAAACAAAAAACUAAAUUUCAGGCAGAAUGGGAAUUUCAAAUUUUCAUUUUAAAAACAGUCAAAAUGACAUUUAGUUUUGACUUUUUCUAAAAGUUUCCAAGGCUCCCUGAGCUGUAUACAGUCCUAGCAGACCCUGAGGUGGGGAGCCUAGGAGCCAAGCAACUUGGAAAUCCUGAGAGCCCCUGCUCUGGGCCAGUCCACCUCCUGAGAUGACGGGGAGCUAGAGAUCCUGGUAUUCCAAAGAGCUUGGGAGACUGGUCUGCCAAGGAACAAGGCAAGCAAACUGGCAGGAAGUCAGGCGGGUUUCUAAUAGAAAUGUUUAUUUUGAUGAAUUUGUAUUUUCCAACAGAAAAGCAUUCCUUCUGAAAUUUUCCAGCCAGCUCUGGUGGUUAGUUAUUGCUAAAACCAAAACAUUUCUAUUAGUUUUUUUUUCUUUUUUGGCAGUGGGGUGGUGUGCAUGUGCGUGCAUUUUGAAUUUAAAAGUUGCUUGGUUCCCCUGUGCAAAAGAGACCGAUUUGCAAGAAAAUAAAAACAACAUAACACAGACAUAUGUUCAAUAAUUUCAUGUUUGCUUUGUCCUCUAAUGCCUUUUUGAAGUUUAGAUGAAGAAUUCUAGUACACCCAAUAAUUUAUCAAAAUUUGUAUAUCAAAAUGGAUUUAGUUAAAACAGUGAAAAUUUAUAGUACUUCGUGUAUAUGGGAGAAAAAAAGUUAAAAUAAACCUUUUAUGUCAUACAAUGUGUUCAGUGGCAUUUAUGAGAAGUUAUGCUCCUGUGAUAUUUAUUUCAUUUUUAAAGAUUCUUAGUAAUAGGUAGUAUUUUUAUCUUUUAAUUAAAAAUUACAUUUUUUUAAUUUAAAUUAGUAAAGUAAAAAGAUUAAAGCAGCAUAAAUGAGGGGAAUGCUGUGUACCAGUACGCAAAUGUGUAGCUAGUUUUCUGUUUUGUUUGAAAGCUUGUGAAAUAUGUGCAUGAAAUACUUAAACAUAAAUAAGUAUACAGCUUAACAUUUCAAAAAUUGUUCUCGUUAUAGUUCUUAAACUUCUUUACCUUUUUUGAAAAUAUUUUCUAAGGUAGAUUAUUUUUCAAGACUUGUUAAUUAUUGACCCUCUGAAAAUUUACUAGAGUUGAGUUAUAUUUCCUUAAAUCCAUGUAACUUAAAUAAUUUUGUAAUGGUAAGAAAUGUUUCAUGUUUCUUGAUGCUACAGGUUGUGGUGAUCCUCUAGGUUUAGUUUUAUGGUGAGUAGUAAAAUACUAUGGGCAUCUAGGUGAAUUCAGCAGUACUGCUGAAUUGCUAUUUAUUAUUUUGUGGUGCACAUGGAAUAUAAAGAGUGAAUUGAGAAUUGCCCUGUUCAUGUAAAGGUAUAGAAGCCAAUGAAUUGUGGAGGUGAAUAUAACACUCAUGAAAUGGGGGUAUGCUGUCGCAUCUUGAUCCCAAAUAACUGCAUUUUCAAGACCUGUUAUAAAUAUUUCACUUUAAAUUCACAAAUUGGUAUACUUAUCUGCAAUUUCAUACUCUUCAGUGCCUACGUCAAAUGUAUAAAGUACCAGUGAUAACCAAAAUCACAGUUGUUUGGCUUGUUUAAACUAAAGAAUAAUUAUAGAAUAUAUUUAUUUGCAUAAAGGUUUGAUUUUUUUUUAAGGGGGGGCAUGUGUGUGUUUUUAACAUAGGCUCCAAUCCUACAAAUUGAGUGGCGCUACCCAUAUGCAUAAAGUUACUCAUUCACAUAUUUGCAGGAUCAGGGCCUGUAUAUGUGUGUGUUUGUGAGUAAAUAAUAUGGAGUGGUAGAAAUAAAUUCUUCCACAUGUGGGGUGUAUCAAAUAUAUAAAUUAUAUUCAGGAAAUCUAUGUGUACACCUCACACACACACGUGGGAAUGAUAUAUUUGUAUUUAUCUGGUAUCAGUGGUCCUCUCACUUGUAUUCUGCCCCUUAGUAGCAGUCCUGGUGGAGAUGAAUUAACAUACCAAACUUCUGAAUAGCUUCUGAACUGCUGUUUUUUAUGAACAGACUGCUCAAAUGUUUUUCGCCUCCAUUCCCCAUCUUGAAAUAUGAAUUUCUGUCAUUGAAAGACUAUAUUGUCUCUGGACCAGUGAAAGGUUUACAGCUUAAUUAUACAAUCACAGGUGGAGAUAUCUAUGAGGUAAAUUGUGGGGCCAUGUAUCACACACCUCUAAUUACCUGGUAUUUGCUCUGCCUGUGAAUCCUUCUCCUCCCAAACUUAAUUCUAAUAUUCCAAACUUUGGAUCAGCUACUGCUUUAUUUAAAAAAAACAAACAAACCAGAUUCAACCAAUGUCCUUGUAUUUUCUCCCUUUACCCAUCACAAAGUAAAAUCACAAUCUGAGAUGGAGGAGGGGGGUUAUUCAAUCCUAAAGCAGUAACAGGUUAUAUUUCCCUAUUUUUUUUACCCUGCAGGGCUAGAAAUUUAGUUUUAUAGCAGUGUGAAGGGAGAAUUCUCUGUGUUCGAUUGGGAGGUGCACCAUUUUGCUUCUAACGAAUCAAGAUACCUUUUAAGCAACGACAUUUUUAUGUGUAGAAAAGUUUAGGUCAUUUUUGGAGAUGUUUUUAAAUUCAUUAUUUAUAUUUUUCCCUCCCAUCAUUUGUAUAGUAACUAGGCAUUGGCUUGAAGGAAGAGGGAUACAAGAUAUAAUCCAAAUACAUUUCACAAAAUAUCUAAAAUAUUUGUAAAAUGUUUCCCCUGUAAUAUAUGUGGACUGCAGAAUACAUGGUGAUAUGAUACAAAGACUUUAUGCAACACUUACUGUAGGUGUCUUUUAUGGUGUCAUUAAGGAAUAAUGUGAACUUUCUAAAAUUAUUACAACCAAAUGCAAGCACACAGCUGAGGGCCAAUCCCAGGCCUGAAACAAACUUUCUUUUUCCCUCAUGGCAUUGAGCAUAUUACUGAGCGAUGAACUGUAAUACGUAAAUAAAUGAGCUUCUCAUUUUUAAAAGAAAUAUUUAUUGCCUUAAUGUAAAAAGGCCAUGAUUUUUUUUUUUAACUUGAAAGUGGGAGAAGGAUUUGGCGGGGCGGGGGGUUGUUAUUACAGAUUCAUGCAUCUAACCUGAAGGACUUGAUGAUGAUGAAAGAUAAAUGAAAUCACGCGGAACUGAAAGCAGAGCAAAAAGGAAGGACUUUUUAGUCAGUUUGUUCAAACAAACAAAAAACCCACUUAUGUUUUUUAUACCCGAUGAACAUUUCAGAGAAUGAAUAUUAAGAAUGCAAAACCCCUAUUCUUUCAGGUGCGAUAGCUUACAAUAAACAUCUCUUGAGACCCGUAAGGAGUUCUCCAGCAUAAUUAGGGAAGACCAACAUUUCCAGUCUUAUUUCUAAUAUAUAAAAACAAGCAGAAAAACUUUUUAAUUUUUAUUUUUAAAGCGUCACCCUUCAUUUACAAUAAUAUAAACAAAAAUAAUAUGGCUGAGGGUUUUCUUUUUAAUAAAUCCUCUCCAGUCACCUUUCACCUGUCUACCCCACUAUUACACACUGCAGAUGAGUUAGUUUUCUGAUAAAUAAGCAGUAAAAUAACUUGGUUUCCGUGCUACCACAGCUGCAAUCAUCUUUAAUGCUUGAAUUAGAGCCUUGUUGGUAUGAAUGUGGCUGUGCUCAUAGUAUGCUGUCUGUGCGGGGGCCACAACUUUGACUUCCCGGUAUGAUCCAAAAUAACUCAUAUCAGUUGAUCUUCAGGGUACACUGUGAGGCCUUUCUCUUUACGUACGCUUUCGGGGAGAUGGAUCAGUGAAGUCAAUAUGGUGUUUAUGGGAGUAGGCAGAGUAUAGUUUAGAUUUUAUUUUCUCUAAUAGGCUCUUUUAUUUUUAUUAAUAGGGAAACUUCUGUGUAUCUUUUAUGUCAAUGUGCUUUUAGUUCCCCAGUGGUAUCGAGCCCCUGAUAAGUGCUGCUUCUUUUUAUUAGUAAUACAUUAAAUAAAGAAAAGAAUAUAGUAUUAUUCCAAAACAGAAAAAAAAACUUUAAAACUCUAGUUAUUUGUAAGAGAAGUAUUUUUGAAGAAGUGAAGAAUAUUUGAAAUUGGCUUUGAGAAGGGAAGUUAGAAUAACCAAAAAGGACUAUCAAUUGCAUACACCAACAAAAAUGUGUGUUGGGUUUUUUUAAUCAAAGUGUUAGAAAUAUUUAACUGAAACUCGGUAAGUCAACCCAUGUGCUUUAACUGUAUAUGCUGAGAGGAUAAAUUUCCAUAAUAUUUGAUAAAAAUGCAGCUUUUAUACUGUACAUGGCUUGCUUCAGAUGUCCAUUUAAAUUUUGGGAGCACAGAAUGUGUUUUGUGCAUUACCCUAUACCUCAAAGAUCAAAUACUUAUAUAUACAAAUACACAUAUAUGCAUUUUUGAUGUGUGGUGUAUAAUAGUUGGGUAUCUGUACAAACUGAAGUAAAUGUAAAAUGGACAGAUAUACACAUUAAAAGUUUCUAUUUUUCUGUU